rnacentral:lncRNA from 1 species
GGGGCGCCUGUGGGAGCCGUGGAGGGAACUUUCCCAGUCCCCGAGGCGGAUCCGGUGUUGCAUCCUUGGAGCGAGCUGAGAGCUCGAGGUGAGCUGGGCUCGCGGUCGCCCCUCUCGCGCGCCCUCUUUAAGAACCACGGCGUCCAACCUCCCUGGAAAUGGGGGGAACAUGGCCGAGGCGCGUGGCGAGGCCGCCUCGUGGAGGCCCCGGAGCGGCAUCCUCAGCGCCCCAGCGAUCCGGUGCCCAUUAGAACCUGCUAAGGCCAUCAAACCUAUUGAUCGGAAGUCAGUCCAUCAGAUUUGCUCUGGGCCGGUGGUACCGAGUCUAAGCACUGCGGUGAAGGAGUUAGUAGAAAACAGUCUGGAUGCUGGUGCCACUAAUAUUGAUCUAAAGCUUAAGGACUAUGGAGUGGAUCUCAUUGAAGUUUCAGGCAAUGGAUGUGGGGUAGAAGAAGAAAACUUCGAAGGCUUAACUCUGAAACAUCACACAUCUAAGAUUCAAGAGUUUGCCGACCUACCUCAGGUUGAAACUUUUGGCUUUCGGGGGGAAGCUCUGAGCUCACUUUGUGCACUGAGGACUCCUAGAAGUACCCCACCCCACCCCUGCUCCUUGGAGGACAACGUGAUCACUGUAUUCAGCUCUGUCAAGAAUGGUCCAGGUUCUUCUAGAUGAUCUGCACAAAUGGCUCCUCUCCUCCUUCCUGAUGUCUGCCAUUAGCACUGGAAUAAAGUUCCUGCUGAAAAUCCA